AUGGCUCAGGAUGAACGCUGGCGGCGUGCUUAAUACAUGCAAGUCGAACGAAGCACUUAUGACAGAUCCCCUCGGGGUGAAGACGUUGUGACUGAGUGGCGGACGGGUGAGUAACGCGUGGGUAACCUGCCUUAUGCAGGGGGACAACAGUUGGAAACGACUGCUAAUACCGCAUAAGCGCACGGCACCGCAUGGUGCAGUGUGAAAAGAUUUAUCGGCAUAAGAUGGACCCGCGUCUGAUUAGGUAGUUGGUGAGGUAACGGCCCACCAAGCCGACGAUCAGUAGCCGACUUGAGAGAGUGAUCGGCCACAUUGGGACUGAGACACGGCCCAGACUCCUACGGGAGGCAGCAGUAGGGAAUAUUGCACAAUGGGGGAAACCCUGAUGCAGCCGACGCCGCGUGAGUGAUGAAGUAUUUCGGUACGUAAAGCUCUAUCAGCAGGGAAGAUAAUGACGGUACCUGACUAAGAAGCCCCGGCUAACUACGUGCCAGCAGCGGC
rnacentral:rRNA from 1 species